GUGUCAGCCGCCGCGGUAAGACGGAGGGGGCAAGCGUUGUCCGGAAUUACUGGGCGUAAAGCGCACGUAGGCGGUCGUGUACGGCGGUGGUGAAAGCUCCCGGCUCAACUGGGAGAGGCCCAUCGCAACGGCGCGACUCGAGGGUGGUAGAGGCGGAUGGAAUUCCUGGUGUAGCGGUGAAAUGCGUAGAGAUCAGGAGGAACACCCGUGGCGAAGGCGGUCCGCUGGGCCAUGCCUGACGCUGAGGUGCGAAAGCCAGGGGAGCGAACGGGAUUAGAUACCCUGGUAGUCC
rnacentral:rRNA from 1 species